CUACUUAAUUCAAGAAAUUCGUAAUAAAUAUUAUCAUCUCUGUACUAUAUAUGGAAAAGAUAUUAUCUUCAUCUGGACCCCUUCACAUAUUGGAGUGUUUGGGAAUGAACAAGUAGACACUUUGGCUAAAAUUAUUAAUUCAAGUGCUGCUCGUGUUCAAGAUUUACCCCUUUGUUAUUCAGAUUGUAGUAUUGGAAUACAUAAAAUCGUUACAACUAAAUGGGAGGAGCAUUGGACUCAAAUAUUACAGACUAAAGGCAAAUGGUACCGCAAAAUUAAUUGGCGUAUUGGAAAACCGUGGUUCUGCAAAGGAAAGGACACAAACAGAAAAUUUUACACCAAUAUUUGUAGAUUACGAAUCGGCCACGGACAUUUCAACGAACACCUGCACCGAAUGGGCAUGAUCGCUUCCCCAUCAUGCACAUGGUGUAACUCAAAUACAGCCCAAUCUCUACAUCACCUUUUUUUGAUUGCUCUGAAUUUGUCAUUCAAAGACACAUUAUGUUUGACGAACUUAGGAUUAUCUUCAAAAAACCCGAAAAUAUCCCGCACUCAAUCCCGCUUCUCUUAAGAUUUCCUUCUUGUUUCAAAGCUAUUUUCACUUAUAUUACUACAACAUUCAAGGAGCUAUAAGAAUACUUUUAUUGAAUUGCAAGACAAUGAUUUUUUAUAAUUAUUUAUUUUUAAUUUGAUAAAUCCACUGGUUUAAGAAAACUCAAGAAAAGAUAUUUAUGAAAAUGUACUUACCGGAUUUGACAAAUGAAAUAUUGAAGAUUAUGACAAUAAUUGAAGCGACAUUAGAAAAAUAAAAUUCCAGACAAAUUAUCUUUUUGAAGACUAGGCAGCAUGGUCUCCGACCUUAGCCUGUUCCAAACGGAACAAACGUACUAAAAAAAAAAAAAAAAAAAAGAACCUAUUGUAAUUGUUUAAGGGUUCAUUGACAUCAUACUCGAAAUCCAAAAGUAAUCGAUUAACAGUUUCAGAAUAAAGAUCCCAAUUAACGAGACGUAGGUUUAUACGAUUUAACAAAAGUUUAUUAACUUCAUCUAUAGGAGCAUGUUGUUCACCUGACGGAGUUGAUGAAGAGUUCUUUGUGUUUAUUUUAGUAAAAGUCGGCAGAUGCUGCAACGCUCAGAAUUCUUACAGAAUUUAGCUAAAUGUCCAUACCUCAAGCACCGGUAGCAUUGUUUAACUGGUGGUAUAUAUGGAGUGACAUUGUGGCGCCAACCUCCAAUAUCCAGAUAUUCAGGUAAUACAGAUGCAGCAAAAGUAAUUGUCACGGUUAGAGUUGGCUGUAACACAUAUCCAUGAGUCAAGGUAUUUUUUCUUAAAAUUCUUUUAAUAGCAAUAAUUUUCUUAGAACUCGAUAUCAUAGUAUAUAUUUUUUUAUUAGAUAUAUUUGUAGGUACAUUUCUAAUAACGCCUGUAACUUCUGUUGAAGAAGCAGGAAUACUGGCCUUAAAAUGGUAGUCAUUUAAAAAAGUUUUAUUAUUUAAAAAAGCAUUGGCUAAGUCUGGCUUUUGAAAGUAUACUCCGAUUUUGAAUUUAUUUAUAGAUCUAAGAUAAGUUACCCCUUUAUUAAAUCGUUUUAAACAGGAGGAGAGUGAGAGCAAGUCUCUGGAUCCAAUGGUUUUCUGACUAUCUGAGGAUUCUACAAAGACAACAAAUUCUGUCCCAGGGGAUUCCUCGGGAUAUCUUCUAAUAUAAUCUGUGACGUAGUAAGGUUUAUACUUAUCGGCCUUAUCAAUUUCAGAUUCUGAGUCAGUAGAAGUAUCUUCCGAAUAUAUAUCCUUGUCAUUACAAGGUUCAUGGUCUACAUCACCUGAAUCGUCAUCUUUUUUUUUCCUUUUUCUACAACUGCGCUUCCCCAUGAAUGCUAAUUAUAUUACUGUCGCUGAAUUUAGUGAAAAUAUAAUAUUUUAUUAAAUAAUAAGAAUUGAUAGAGAUAGUUUUAAUAAAUUAAUAAAAAAAAUUUAAAAAA